rnacentral:rRNA from 1 species
UACGUAGGGUCCAAGCGUUAUCCGGAAUCACUGGGCGUAAAGGGUGCGUAGGCGGGGCUUUAAGUCAGGGGUGAAAUCCUGGAGCUCAACUCCAGAACUGCCUUUGAUACUGAAGAUCUUGAGUUCGGGAGAGGUGAGUGGAACUGCGAGUGUAGAGGUGAAAUUCGUAGAUAUUCGCAAGAACACCAGUGGCGAAGGCGGCUCACUGGCCCGAUACUGACGCUGAGGCACGAAAGCGUGGGGAGCAAACAGG